GAGACCCAUAGAGCCCCAUAGAUCCCCAUAGCCGCCCCACAGAGACCCAUAGAGCCCCAUAGAGCCCCAUAGAGCCCCAUAGAGCCCCAUAGCCGCCCCAUAGAGCCCCAUAGAGCCCCAUAGAGCCCCAUAGCCGCCCCAUAGAGCCCCAUAGAGCCCCAUAGAGCCCCAUAGAAGCCCCAUAGAGCCCCAUAGAGGCCCACAGAGACCCAUAGAGCCCCAUAGAGCCCCAUAGAGCCCCAUAGCCGCCCCAUAGAGCCCCAUACAUCCCCAUAGAGCCCCAUAGCCGCCCCAUAGAGCCCCAUAGAGCCCCAUAGAGCCCCAUAGCCGCCCCAUAGAGCCCCAUACAUCCCCAUAGAGCCCCAUAGCCGCCCCAUAGAGCCCCAUACAUCCCCAUAGAGCCCCAUAGCCGCUCCAUAGAGCCCCAUAGAGCCCCACAGCCACCCCAUAGAGCCCCAUAGAGCCCCACAGCCGCCCCAUAGAGCCCCAUAGAGCCCCAUAGAGCCCCAUAGAGCCCCAUAGCCGCCCCAUAGAGCCCCAUAGAGCCCCACAGCCGCCCCAUAGAGCCCCAUAGAGCCCCAUAGCCGCUCCAUAGAGCCCCAUAGAGCCCCAUAGAGCCCCAUAGCCGCCCCAUAGAGCCCCAUAGAGCCCCAUAGCCGCCCCAUAGAGCCCCAGAGAGCCCCAUAGAGCCCCAUAGAAGCCCCAUAGAGGCCCACAGAGACCCAUAGAGCCCCAUAGAGCCCCAUAGAGCCCCAUAGCCGCCCCAUAGAGCCCCAUACAUCCCCAUAGAGCCCCAUAGCCGCCCCAUAGAGCCCCAUAGAGCCCCAUAGAGCCCCAUAGCCGCCCCAUAGAGCCCCAUACAUCCCCAUAGAGCCCCAUAGCCGCCCCAUAGAGCCCCAUACAUCCCCAUAGAGCCCCAUAGCCGCUCCAUAGAGCCCCAUAGAGCCCCA
rnacentral:lncRNA from 1 species